UGGGCUCAGCAGGGCGGCUGUGCCCACAAAGGGUCCCUGUGUGUGGCACACAGGCAAAUGGGAGAGGGAAAUGGAGCAGCCCCAGCUCGGGCAAUAAUUCCUGACACAGCCCUGCUGUGGGACACAACAACUGCUCCUCCUUUUCCAGAGCACUCCAGGGUGAAAGAUUUGCAGAUUUUGGGAAAAACACUGACUUUCAAUGCCCUUAGACCUUUGCCAUCACUCCUGCAUCAGUCCAGGCCAUGCAGGAGGGAUGGCAAAGGUUUCAGGGCAUUGAAACCUGGACACCUCUCCUCUCCGUGGUGUCCAGGUCUUUCAGGGGGGAAUGUGACCAUUCCUGAUGUGCAGAGCUUCUGCAGGACUUGCUUUGACUCACCUGCUGCUGGUUGGGAAUAUUUGUUGCAUUUGACCCAGAGGCAGUCUUGGUGAGGAUAAGAAUGAAGGAGGAUGCAGGAGCCAAAGGAUGGAACCAGAGGAUGGAGCCAAGGAUGGAGCCAAGGAUGGAGCCAGAGGAUGGAGCCAAGGAUGGAGCCAAGGAUGGAACCAGAGGAUGGAGCCAAGGACGGAGCCAGAGGAUGGAGCCAAGAAUGGAGCCAAGGAUGGAGCCAGAGGAUGGAGCCAAGGAUGGAGCCAAGGAUGGAGCCAAGGAUGGAGCCAAGGAUGGAGCCAGAGGAUGGAGCCAAGGAUGGAGCCAGAGGAUGGAGCCAGAGGAUGGAGCCAGAGGACGGAGCCAAGGAUGGAGCCAGAGGAUGGAGCCAGAGGAUGGAGCCACCCUUGGUGGCUUUGCAGGGUGGCUGCAGGUGUGGCACAGGAUGUGUCUGAGCCCAGCUCCCGGUGGUUCCAGGUACAACCAGCAACUCCCAGCUCUCCAACUGGGAUCAGGCAUCAGGGAAAAAAGGAACACAAUGACUGAGCAGGUGGGGGAAGUCUGGUUCAGGUGACUCUCAGCAUCUUAUGGAGGAGGGAUAAAAAUCCCAGUGUCCAGGGAAG
rnacentral:lncRNA from 1 species